rnacentral:rRNA from 1 species
AGCAGCAGCCACGGUAAUACGUAGGGUGCAAGCGUUAAUCGGAAUUACUGGGCGUAAAGCGUGCGCAGGCGGUUAUAUAAGUCAGAUGUGAAAUCCCCGGGCUCAACCUGGGAACUGCAUUUGAGACUGUAUGGCUAGAGUGUGUCAGAGGGGGGUAGAAUUCCACGUGUAGCAGUGAAAUGCGUAGAUAUGUAGAGGAAUACCGAUGGCGAAGGCAGCCCCCUGGGCCAAUACUGACGCUCAUGCACGAAAGCGUGGGGAGCAAACAGGAUUAGAUACCCCUGUAGUCCCUGUCUCUUAUAC